UCUUAGCAGUAGCCGCGGCUGCUAACAGAACAGGCUGUUGGGAGAGACGGAGGGAGGCGACGUAACCGGGUUCUGCUAUCCCAUUUUACUGCUUAACUCGCCCUGGAGUGUCGGGACCCAUUCUUUCCCUGCGCGCUCCUUGCACUGCACAAGGAGGCCCUCACUCCGUCCUCCCGGGACAGCCAGGCUGGUUGGAAUAAGGGGUCUUGGGCGGAACAGGGGGUUCUGCCCUUUACGGUGACUUUCUAAAAGACACCACCGGUGUCUUUUGACAGUACAGCGCCUGGGGUGAGAGGCGGAGAGAGGGUUUGGAUUACUAAACCAAUUACUUUUUUUUUUUUUCCUUCGGGUCAUCUGGAUUUGUUUCCUGGGCCCCCUCCUCCACCCCUUCUCUCUUUUCCUCCCGCCUUUAGCGAAGUGACACAGGCAACACCUGCUCGCUUGUGUUCGACGUUGGAACUCGCACCUUCUCGGUGGUGACGGUGGCAGCGUACUGGGCACAGGGGACAGCGGCGGAUUUCCCUUCCUUCCAGCCCACGAUGCCUAGGAGGGCAGCGGUUGGGCUGCGUGGGGCUCUGCCCGCAGCACUUCGAGGCGGGAUUGAGGGGCUGCAGCUGGCCAGGAGUUGCUGCUAAGUGGACUGGGCGCAAAGUCUCCAAAAGGGCAGCGGCUGGGACCUAGCUGCUAAAAGCGGGAACAAGGGGCACCUGAUCCGAGGAAGCCGGCUUCCAGAGGGGGGAGGACUGCCAGGCCAAGCGCAGAGCCUCCCCUCCUUGCCGCCCCGAACCUCCCCUGCAACUCCUCCACGUUGGAGACCUGGGACCUGCGAGAGCCAGGGAACGGGAGAAGUACGUGGCAGAGACUGCUUUCCUGAAGGUGAAUCGUUCCAUCCAAUUGCCUUUCCCCAGAGAGCCAAAGGGAGGGAGGAAGAGAGGGACGGAGGAUGUGUGAGUGUGUGUGUAUGUGAGGGGGAGAGACGACGUGAGGCGAGAGGAAAAGUCGUUACACGGCGUUAAAAGCAAACAAAUCCGAGAUGGAAUAAGAGAGGUAAUUGCUGCAAGACCGUCUCGAUUCUCGCAGUCCGGGGAGCCGUGCGCAACCCACGCCUCCGACGAGGACAGCGUACGACCGCGGGCGCUGGCAAGGGCUGCGGGACUUUGGCUUUGCCUCAGUAAACAAAUCUUUGAAUUACUUUGACUCCGUGGAAUAAAGAGCGGGGGGAAAAGAGACGAGGCUCACGCACUCCACCUUGCACCCGCUCUCAGGGGACUCCAGUUUGGAUGUCAAGAGAUUCCUGAACCCUCUUUGCUAUCGGAGGAGGAAACACGCGCGCGCAUACACGCACGCUCAGGGCCACACUCACACGCCCUCCACGAGCACACACCACCAGACUUGGCUUCCCUAUGCCCCAGAACGGUGACGGCGGAUUGGCAUCUUGGAAGCGAUGCAAGAGCGAUAAGGCUGGCGCGGGCCCGCGGAAGCUGCAGGAGCAUCGCUAGGUGUUGCCGCCACCAGGAAGCAGGGCUGCAGGAUGAGUAAGAGAUACUUACAGAAAGCAACAAAAGGAAAGCUGCUAAUGAUAAUAUUUAUCGUAACCUUGUGGGGGAAAGUUGUAUCCAGUGCAAACCAUCAUAAAGCUCAUCAUGUUAAAACGGGCACCUGCGAGGUGGUGGCACUCCACAGAUGCUGUAAUAAGAACAAGAUAGAAGAGCGAUCACAGACCGUCAAGUGUUCCUGCUUCCCCGGGCAGGUGGCAGGCACCACGCGAGCUGCUCCGUCUUGUGUCGAUGCUUCAAUCGUGGAACAGAAAUGGUGGUGCCACAUGCAGCCCUGUCUUGAAGGAGAGGAAUGUAAAGUUCUUCCGGAUCGGAAAGGAUGGAGCUGUUCCUCUGGGAAUAAAGUGAAAACAACCAGGGCAAACGUGUAAAACUCUUCAAGUUCGAAUGGAGAAGUAGAAAGAGAAGGUUUCUGCUGUGCCUGAUGACAGUUUUUGAUUUUUCCACACUCAAAAAAAUUCUGGCUCCAUGUUGGAGCACUAGUGUGGCGAAUCCUAGUGUUGGUCGGAUUCUAAGGAAGGGACAGAAGUUUCGUUGAGGAGUAAAGAUUCAAAACAUCUCCUGAAAUGAGCUCUCGUCUUGGUUUAUUUCUCACAGAGCAGCAGGUAACCCAUUAACUAAGGAUAAAUCAAGUGAUCCUCAAGCCUGAUUACCCUGAACAUAUGCACAGAAACUUAAUUCCUGAGGUGAUCUUGAAAGGAGAUUUUUAUUCUGCUCACAAGAGGCACUGCAGAGUCUUAUUUCCAAGGGAUUUCAUGGCUCGUAACCAGCCUCUUCUUGAAACCAAGACUUUUAAAAAGUCAGACAUGAACUUCUAUGUCAUGAAGAUUUUGUCAGAUUUGAACUGUGUUCAACUUGUAAAAUUGCACUUGCUAAGAGAAUUUGAAGUUGCCAUCUGAAGAGCUGGUGUUUCCAGGUGAUGUCAGAGACACUCACCUUUUGGGUUCUUGGCCUCCAAUGUGACUGCUUUUCUUGUUUCUGAAAGUCUGCCAAGUGCACCGGCCUUCUGCCAUGGAUAUGUUCCUGGGUCCGGUCCCGUGUUCACUGGUUGGUGGGACUGUACCCGGCUUUACUGACAUUUCCUUUGCGAACUUCUCUGGCAUGGUGUAGACUGAGACAGUUUUAUUUGUAUCCUAAUCUUGGAGCUCUGAAAGCCUACAUGUUUUAGCAUCUUACAGUUGCUUUUGUUAAAGGAAUGGAAAUAUAUAUCCAUUGAUAAUAAUUAUUGUUGGCAAGUAAUAGUUAUCUGAAGACAUCAAUCAUAUAAGAAUGUAUAGACAAGCUGACAUGUUUCCCCAAGGCUAACAUACUACUGCAGCUGUCAGUUAAAUAGGUAGUAGUUAGAACUGAAUUUCCAUUUUCAUUAUAUGCUAUUUUGUACUUCUAGAGUACUUUCCCUCUUGGUUUUUAAGUGGGCUUUUUCUUUCAUGUUUAUAUUUACUUUUUCCCUUCGCAGAAAUCAGCAGUGAGCAGUCAAUUAUGUAGGUAACCUUCGGUUUCAAAAAAAUCGCCAGGGGUGCAUGUGGAUUUCUGAUUUCUUAGCUCGAGAGUUCUUCACUUAAGAUUUCUUCUAGUAAUUUUUUUUUUUAACUGUCCUCUCAUUUUAUAGACUGUCCCUUGCUUGCUCCCAAUGACUGUUUGAAUGCUUAUAUAUUUGUUCAGUCUGUUAAUAGAAUUGUUCAUUUUCCUUGGUCUCAAAUUUAUAAAUAUUUGCUUAUAGUUGUGCCAUUCGGACAAUUUCUUAGGUCAGUUUCCAUCCACAGUUUUGUAGUCAUUUUAACAUUUUUGUUUUUCAGUUCUACAGGAAAGUCUUACAAAUAUUUAAAGGCCUUAAACAUGUAUGUAAUUUUUUUCUAAGUUAUUACAGAACGCAUAAUUUUAUACUACAUUUAUUUUAUUUCAUUUGUUAUGUGAAGUUGGAGAAGAACUGAAAAUGCAUAGCCAUUCUGUGAUAAUAUUGUGUAAAUGUGUAGUUGAAGGGAUGCAAUCGGAGACUUUGUUUACUCAUCAUAGCCUAACAGGAAGGUACUUCAGAAAUUGUCCUAUUAGAAAUUCCAUCAUGUUAGAAAAGAUGUGACCAUUUUUCAUAUUUUUAAAACUCAAUGCCAUGGUCAAUUAAGUCUAUGUUGGUUUCCAUGAUGGAGGCUGACAUACCUUGGAGAGUUUUGGUCUGUUAGUUGGUAACAAAUUUCAAAGACCAGUGCAUUACCCAGAAUGUUUUCUGGGCGGAAAAAUUAAAGUGUAAAAUUGGUUAAAAAUUAAAUUUGUAAAGUAUACUUUGAACACUGAACCAAAGUGUACUGCCCCCCAAGUCCGUGGGAUGAAAUGACUUCUUCCCUCCAUGUUAAUUAUACAUAAAACUAAUUAGAUGGCUUUGAGUGGAUUUUGCAAUAGUUUAAGACUGUAUGAAUUCGGAAAGAAAAAAGUAACACUUGUGCUGGAAUUUUUCCAUCAAUUAUAACAGCAUUAAUUUCUUUGGAACAAAGUAGAAAACUGUAUUAUUUUGGAAAUUAUGAAUUUGUCCUAGGUUUGUUUGAAAUUGUAGAUCAUGCUUCUCAUUUUUUUAACUGAGUCCUUUAAAACAACACUGGAAAUUCUGUAUUAUAUUCAAGUGUAACACAUGCAUAUCAAUAGAAAAAAAUAAAUGGAAUUUCAAAUAUACUAACUAGAUUAUCCCCAGUAGAUUAAUGUUGUGACAAUUCAGAAAAGGUAAAUAAAAUUGGGAUAUAA